CAGUAGCCACGGGAAUACGAAGGGGGCUAGCGUUGCUCGGAAUGACUGGGCGUAAAGGGCGCGUAGGCGGCACAGUCAGUCAGAUGUGAAAUUCCUGGGCUUAACCUGGGGGCUGCAUUUGAGACGGCUGGGCUAGAGUGUGAAAGAGGGUCGUGGAAUUCCCAGUGUAGAGGUGAAAUUCGUAGAUAUUGGGAAGAACACCGGUGGCGAAGGCGGCGACCUGGUUCAUGACUGACGCUGAGGCGCGAAAGCGUGGGGAGCAAACAGGAUUAGAUACCCCCGUAGUCCCUGUCUCUUAUAC
rnacentral:rRNA from 1 species